UAUUACCCAUGCGAAUUGCUGAUAUUAGAAAAUGUCGUUUUAUACGUAUUCAGUUAUUCCUUCCUCAUCGCGCAUGUUUUAACAGUCCUGGAUGAGAGAAACCCAAACGUUAGUCUCAACGAGGAAAAUUAUUAAACCGUAGAUAGAACUUGCAUAAGGUUCUUUAUGAACAUGAUUUUAUUAUACUGAUUGGGACACUGCUGACUUGCUCCACGUCCAUCUGCCUAACUUUUGCGAGGUGAAAAAGUAAAUGGUAACUGGGAAGAACUGAGAAAUAUGCAUGUGAAUGUUUGAGAAAAUACUAUCCUCACCUUUUUGAGUGGGUUUCACGAAGUAGGCUCAUAUGACCUUCUAAAACCACCCUUGGAAAUUCUUACUUUUCCUCGUUCCUUAAGGGUCUUUUUGAUGCGCUGAGUUGAAUUCUGAAGGAACUCAUAUGUUUGACGUGUGGAGCUUAUAUAUAUGUGGAGUUGCUUGGAGUGCAAAGUUAUUUUGUCCACCAAGUUUGUGUUUUAGGUGCUGAGUUGAGUUAUGAAGUGCAGGGUAUUUGGUGCAGUCUUUUUACUCAAACAAUUUGCUUUUCUAGUGAUUAUAUUUUUUUUGUAGAAAUAGUCUUAUUCAAUAAUUCUCCUUUUUUUUUUAAUAUGGAUUGCGUUUUAUUUUUUUAAUAUACAUAUAUUGUUGGGAGUUUUGAAAAACAAAGUUAGGGUUUACUUUUGGAUCAUGCAUUUUAUUUUUUGUUCGCUUAAUUUUUUGUUUAACUCUUAAUUUGUGCACGUAUUUUCCCAAAAUUUUAACACUCGACUAAGAUUUCAACUUAAAACUUUCUUUUCACUUUAGUUUACAAUUUUUUAUAUGUAAGCAUUGGAUUUGAGAUAGACAAGAGCUUCAUACAAACAACAAAGUCACAAUAUACUUUCACAUUAGUGAUUAGUGUAAUGUAUGAGUGUGCACAAAAAAAGUGAAUCAUUAAGGGAUUCACGGCUUUUUAUGAUAUCUUAUGCCAAAUUAUAUGUUAGGUUUUAUUAUGCAUGCAUGUUAGUGUUGGAAAUGCGAUCAACGUUUCACAUUGGCUAGAUAAGGGGAUGAUCAUAAAUAUGUAAGAGAAAACAAUUAUCAUUGAUAGUAUGAGACAUUUUAGACGAAACCAAGGGUAAAGCCAGGAGAGUUCACGUUCAACGUAAAUAAUAUUAUACAAUUGUAGAGAUAUAUGGUGGUUUGUUAUCCUUAACAAGUGAUAUUAGUUGGGCAUCAUGUCAUGACUUAGCCAUGUAAAAUCAUCAAGUAUCGAACAAAGAAAUGGAAAGCCUUAGAAGAUGCAAUUGUCACGCCCCGUCCCACACGCGUCGUUAACUUGUCGUGCCCGUGCGGAACAAAAUGCGACUUAAAAACUUUGAACCUUAAACAAAUACAAUGCAAACUUAACAGUAAAAGCAAAACCGCAACAACUUUAGUAAUGCAACCAGCCAUAACUAAUAUUAACUUUAAGUCAAGAGUUUCUACAACAGUACAAGAUACAAGUUCUUAAUACAAAAGCUUAACAAAGAAAUUCUAAAUGCCUUCAUAGCCUUCAACCUUCAAGCCCAGCUUGCUCACCUUCAAACCCAACAGCCUCACCAAUUGGGGAAGGGGAAACUUAAAAUGUAAAUCGAUGACUUAGUGAGUGAUACUUUUGAAAACUUUUUUUGGUAAAUACAAUCAAUAAAACAUUUUCAUUUUAACAUAGGCUCAACGCCUCAUUUCAUACAAAUCAUAAACCAUUGCACAACAUUUUACUCAAGAAACUUAUUACUUUCAACAUAUGAAAUUCAUAGCAUAAACUUAAUUUUAACAAUCAUCUAUAACCCGUUCUUGGCAUGAAACAUAUGGACAUACACCAUACAUCAAAAGACUUCCUCCUCUUAACAUCGGUUACAGUCCUAACUGUAUCAUUCUCCUCAUGGACACAAAGAUUUGCACCUUCCUGAUGUACAAAGAACAUAGGCUUGUCAGCCACUACAUCAGAGUACCACCAUGUGCACAUAACUGGCUAAAGAGGGUAGCAUGGAACAUAGGGCAUUGACUCCUGGAAAACAUAUUUGAAAACUUGAAUUAAACAUAACCUUUCUUUCAAAUCACAAAAUCAUAAAUAUGUUUUUUACAUAACAUACAAUGCAAUCACCUAAAACAUGUACUUUUCUUGAAACAUAACAUUAAAUCUUCCUUCAUAAUACAUGCUGAUAAACAUGUAUAAAACGACAGCAUGCUUUCUACUAUGCUGCAAAGUAACAUGAUUCAAUUCUAAGGAAAGAACCUUGGAAAACUUCUCUUCUUCUUUGAAAAAUCACUCACAGUCCUUGAAGUUCAUUCGUCGUGUAAACUCUUCCUUCCUUCAGCAGCUGAAUACCUUAACUAAACUUUCUGAGAAUUCUAAAAGAUAUAAAUAACUUAUGAAUCUUCACCUCUAAUCUUCCCUUUUUAUAAAACCCUCGACUUAACCACUUUGAGAUACCUAAUUUCAUAAUACCUAUUCACCUUUCACCUCUUAAUUCUGAGCUUUCACCUCGUACUUGCCAAAAUUUAAGUCUUUUCAUGUCUUAACACUUGGAAUACAAUUCACUGAUCACUUAAUUUUUUAAUGAUCUCAGCCGGAAUUGGCUUGAGAUCACCAUGAGAACCCCAGGAAAACAUUUCCUGUCUCCAGUCUCAGUUGAAAACAGCCAGACACAGCCCUGAGAUCUGUUAGACCACCCAUCAUACACCAGUAUAGUAGGAGAAAGAACAGGAAAGAGAAAAAGGACGAGGAGUUGGUUAUGUAACCAACUGCAGGUGGGGACCACAAGGAAAUGGAGUGUCGACGCACGAUCCCCUAAGGGGGACCAUAGUAGGGGAGUGAGGGAGCAAAUAUAAAUAGAGACGAGAAGGAAGGGAGAGGGCAGAGAAUUUUGGUUGUAAAGAAUCCUACUGUUAUUCCUUGAGAGAUAGGAAGGCAGCGGAGGGAGAGAGGAGUCUUCGACGGAGAGCAUUUUAUUUUCUUCUGUAUUUUUCAUUAGCAGCAAUAUUUCCUAUAUUGCAUCCUUUUUCCAUUGCAAACUGGGAAGGUCGGGUUCCAUCAAGAUCCUUCACAUUCCUUCUUUAAUCAUCAAUCUCGGCCGGUUAACAAAAACGAGGUCACAGGAUUGUUUUUGUCAAACCAGUCUGAAGCAGCAUGGUUGUCUGCUUUCUCUUGGUGUUUCCACCCCAUCAAUUUUGAAGCUUCCAGUGUGCAAUUUUCCAGUUAGGCUUCUUGUUGGAUUUUUUUUUGUCUGCUUUGUCAUUAAUUUCUCUUGAAUUCUUGGGGUUUAGAAGUUUUUGAUCAGCUUGUUUGUAUUUUUCGUUUAUGUUCGUUCUUUUCUCUCUUAGUAUAGUUCUCUUGUAUCUUGAGCAUUAAUCUUUUUUAAUUUUUAUCUUUAAUACAUAGCCUUGUAUCCGUUUAAAAAAGACGAAGUUUAGUGCUUGAUGAUUUGUCUUCCUGUUCAG